UACAGAGGUCUCAAGCGUUGUUCGGAUUCAUUGGGCGUAAAGGGUGCGUAGGCGGCGCGGUAAGUCGGGUGUGAAAUCUCGGAGCUUAACUCCGAAACUGCAUUCGAUACUGCGGUGCUUGAGGACUGGAGAGGAGACUGGAAUUCAUGGUGUAGCAGUGAAAUGCGUAGAGAUGUGGAGGAACACCGAUGGCGAAGGCAGCCUCCUGGGCCAGCACUGACGCUCAUGCACGAAAGCGUGGGGAGCAAACAGG
rnacentral:rRNA from 1 species